GUGAUAAGAUAGUCACCGUUCCGGUUUCAAGAAACAUUGAUUCCGCUUAUGCACUUUCACGCAGGUGCUCUUGAAAUUUUGCAGAUCUGCAAGACUCUUAACUAUUUAGAUUGAAAACCCCGCCUUCGCAAACGUUAAGCUGCGACUAUGGCCAUUAAUCUUAGCAAGCUCGCCCUUCUUCGCUCCUUCACUCCAAUUCCUCGUCUCAUUUCCACUGCUCCUGGCCGUUAUCAUUUCUCUGUAUGCUCGAUCGACGAAGCACCAUCUUUGGGAAGCUCCACUAGGACUGAGGAUCGUGCAAACAUAAAUCACCAAGAAUUUCAGAAAUGGCAUAAUGGAGGUGGGAUGUUCCACAAGACUGCUUGCAUUGAAUCCACAACACUCAUUGAAAUUGGUGCAGUAGUUCAUUCAGAAUGUGUCGUUGCUGCAAACGUUCAUAUUGGAUCAGGAACUAUUGUUGGACCUGCUGUGAAAAUUGGUGAAUCAACAAAAAUAGAGUAUAAUGUUUCAGUCACUAAUUGUACAAUAGGUGAUGCUUGUUUUAUUCACAAUGGAGUCUGCAUAGGUCAAGAUGGAUUUGGGUUCUUCGUGGAUGAGCAUGGGAACAUGAUGAAAAAGCCUCAAAUGCAGAGUGCAAGGAUAGGGAAUCACGUGGAGAUAGGUGCAAAUACAUGCAUAGACAGAGGCAGCUGGAGAGAUACAGUAAUAGGGGAUCACUCAAAAAUAGAUAAUUUAGUUCAGAUAGGUCACAACGUAGUAAUUGGAAAGAAUUGCAUCCUUUGUGGACAAGUUGGCAUUGCAGGUUCAGUGACGAUGGGUGACUAUGUGACUUUAGCAGGAAGAGUAGCAGUUCGUGACCAUGUAUCAAUUGUAUCAAAGUUUGCAGGUCAGGCUUGCAGCUAAUAGUGUUGUCACCAAGGACAUCAAAGAGCCUGGGGACUAUGGCGGCUUCCCUGCUGUAAGAACUGUUCCAAUUCAUGAAUGGCGAAAACAAGUUGCUGUUCUUCAAACUUUGAAGAAGCGGGCUCCUUAGAGUUGUCAAGAAACGAAUUUGUAUGUCACCAAUGUAACAUUUAUUGUUGUGAUUCUAGGGUUGCAAGCAAAAAAUGAAGAGAGAUUAGUAUUACUGGUUUAACCAAAAAGAAAGGAAAGGGAGAGAAAACAGAGUGAAUGCUCUGAUUCUUUUUAUUCUCUGCAUUUCUACAGAAUAAAGCCAAAAAGGCUAGUUUUUAUA